UAUAGACAGAAGUCUGUACUAGGUAUACACAAUAUAGACAGAAGUCUGUACUAGGUAUACACAAUAUAGACAGAAGUCUGUACUAGGUAUACACAAUAUAGACAGAGGUCUGUACUAGGUAUACACAAUAUAGACAGAAGUCUGUACUAG